UACGUAGGGGGCGAGCGUUAUCCGGAAUUACUGGGCGUAAAGCGCACGCAGGCGGUCUACCAAGUUUGGUGUGACAGUUUCCGGCUCAACCGGGAAAGUACUUUGAAAACUGGUAGACUUGAGGACGAGAGAGGAACAUGGAACUCCAGGUGUAGUAGUGAAAUGCGUAGAUAUCUGGAAGAACACCAAAGGCGAAGGCAAUGUUCUGGCUCGUUUCUGACGCUCAGGUGCGAAAGCCAGGGGAGCGAACGGG
rnacentral:rRNA from 1 species